UAAAUUGAAGCCAAAUGUUUAGGCACUUAGCUGUUAACUAAGAGGUAGUGGGAUAGAGCCCCACCAAUUUAG
rnacentral:tRNA from 1 species